rnacentral:rRNA from 1 species
UACGGAAGGUGCAAGCGUUAUCCGGAAUCACUGGGUUUAAAGGGUGCGUAGGCGGUUAAAUCAGUCAGAAGUGAAAGCUCACAGCUUAACUGUGGAAUUGCUUUUGAAACUGUUUAACUUGAAUCAGGUUGAGGUUGGCGGAAUGUGACAUGUAGCGGUGAAAUGCAUAGAUAUGUCAUAGAACACCGAUUGCGAAGGCAGCUAGCUAGACCUGCAUUGACGCUGAGGCACGAAAGCGUGGGGAGCGAAC